rnacentral:snRNA from 1 species
AUACUUACCUGGCAGGGGAGAUACCAUGAUCACGAAGGUGGUUUUCCCAGGGCAAGGCUUAUCCAUUGCACUCCAGAUGUGCUGACCCCUGCCAUUUCCCCAAAUGUGGGAAACUCUACUGCAUAAUUUGUGGUAGUGGAGGACUGCAUUCGCACUCUUCCC